UUGAAUUAUUCCAAUGUAGCAAAAUGCAUCCAAAGAGACCAUUACUUAUAGACCAGAUAGGAUGAGUCUUCCUUUAUUCACCAGCUCCCAGAAAUCACAAACUCAGCAAUCUAAAAAUCACAAAAAUGAGUUCAGCAUCAACCACUGUUACACAUAUCUCAGAAUGCUUCAUCAAGCCAAAGUAUGAAGUGAAAGAAGCCAAACAACCAUACUACUUAUCUCCAAUGGAUUUAGCUAUGCUCUCUGCUCAUUACAUCCAAAAGGGUCUACUCUUCACCAAACCUUCAAACUAAGAUAACCAACAAUUCUCCAUUCACAAAUUCCUUCAAAAUCUCAAGGACUCUCUUUCACUCACCCUCAUCCAUUUCUACCCAUUAGCUGGUCAACUUGCGAGCGAAGUAGACAAAGAUCAGCACAAAUGUCUCAUCUUCGUCGACUGCAACAAAGGCCCUGGUGCGAGAUUCAUCCAUGCUACGUUAGAUAUGACCAUAUCAAACAUACUUUCACCAACCGAUGUUCCUCUAGUGGUUCAAUCAUUUUUUGAUCAUGAAAAAAAUGUUAACCAUGAUGGUCAUUUUAAGUCUUUGUUAACCAUUCAAGUCACUGAACUUUUAGAUGGUAUUUUCAUUGCUUGUUCUAUGAAUCACUCCCUCGGUGAUGGAACCUCCUACUGGAAUUUUUGGAACACAUGGUCUAAAAUCCAUCUAGGAUUAUGUGAUGAAGGAGUUCCUUCAUCGCGUAUUCCAUUUCAUAAACGUUGGUUUCCUGAAGGGUAUGGUCCGCCUUUCCUACUCCCCUUUACCGAACCAGAUGAAUUUAUUAGCAGAUUUACAGCACCCCAACUCAGAGAGAGGAUCUUCCAUUUCUCAUCUGAGUCUAUUGCAAGACUUAAAGCAAAAGCAAAUGAGGAAUUCAACACAACAAACGAAAUCUCAUCGUUUCAAGCCUUAUCAGCACUAUGCUGGCGUGCAAUAGCUCGAGCAAACCGUCUAUCUUUUGAACAAUUCACAAAUUGCAGAUUAGCAGCUAAUAACAGGCAUAGAUUAAAUCCACCUUUGCCUCAUGAGUAUUUUGGUAAUUGUAUAAGCGCACUGGAAACAACUACCACGGUUGGUGAGCUACUUGAUCAUAACUUAGGGUGGGCUGCGUCAUUGUUACACCAGACAGUGAUAAAUCACAAUGAUAAAAUACUACGAAAAUUCAUUAGUGGAUGGCUCAAAUCACCCGUUGUUUUCCAGCUUGAUAAGGUGUUUGAUUGUUACAGUGUGAUGAUGGGAAGUUCGCCAAGAUUUGACAUGUACGGGAAUGAAUUUGGGCUCGGAAAAGCAGUUGCUCUUCGUAGUGGGUACGCGAAUAAAUUUGUAGGAAAGGUGACUUCUUAUGAAGGCUACGAGGGUGGAGGAAGUGUGGAUUUGGAGAUAUGUUUACCUCCUGACUCGAUGAAAGCUCUUGAAACAGAUGAGGAAUUUAUGAAUGCUGUUUGCCUGUCUCGUUACCAAAUACUAUAGAAUAUAGGUUAAGGCACAACUGAAGGCCUUGUUCAGAGGAAAAAAAGAGAAAGGUGAAGCAUCAAAAUCCUUGCUGAGAUUAAAUAAAACCAACUUUCGUAUGUUAAUUAUAUUUUUCAUAUGUUUGACUGAUCUGAUGAUCAUCUUGUAUUCUGAUGUAUUAACAUCUUGGAAGAAUAAGGAGCUUUAUGUUGUAUUGCAA